rnacentral:rRNA from 1 species
UACGUAGGGUGCGAGCGUUAAUCGGAAUUACUGGGCGUAAAGCGUGCGCAGGCGGUUUUGUAAGCCAGAUGUGAAAUCCCCGGGCUUAACCUGGGAAUGGCAUUUGGGACUGCAAGGCUCGAGUGCGGCAGAGGAGACUGGAAUUCCUGGUGUAGCAGUGAAAUGCGUAGAUAUCAAGUGGAACACCAGUGGCGAAGGCGAGUCUCUGGACAUUUCCUGACGCUGAGGCACGAAAGCCAGGGGAGCAAACGGG